rnacentral:rRNA from 1 species
UACGAAGGGGGCUAGCGUUGCUCGGAAUCACUGGGCGUAAAGCGCACGUAGGCGGAUUGUUAAGUCAGGGGUGAAAUCCUGGAGCUCAACUCCAGAACUGCCUUUGAUACUGGCGAUCUCGAGUCCGGGAGAGGUGAGUGGAACUGCGAGUGUAGAGGUGAAAUUCGUAGAUAUUCGCAAGAACACCGGUGGCGAAGGCGGCUCACUGGCCCGGUACUGACGCUGAGGUGCGAAAGCGUGGGGAGCAAACAGG